rnacentral:rRNA from 1 species
GAUGAACGCUAGCGGCAGGCCUAAUACAUGCAAGUCGAGGGGUAACAGGGGUAGUAAUAUCUGCUGACGACCGGCGCACGGGUGCGUAACACGUAUACAAUCUGCCUUUAACAGGGGGAUAGCCCGGAGAAAUCCGGAUUAAUACCCCAUAACAAUGGAAGAAGCAUUUCUUCUAUUUAAAAGCUCAGGCGGUUAGAGAUGAGUAUGCGUCUGAUUAGCUAGUUGGUAAGGAACGGCUUACCAAGGCAACGAUCAGUAGGGGAUCUGAGAGGAUUAACCCCCACACGGAUACUGAGACACGGAUCCGACUCCUACGGGAGGCAGCAGUAAGGAAUAUUGGACAAUGCCCGACAAGGGUGAUCCAGCCAUGCCGCGUGCAGGAA